rnacentral:rRNA from 1 species
UACGUAGGGGGCAAGCGUUGUCCGGAAUCAUUGGACGUAAAGAGCGUGUAGGCGGCCAGAAAAGUCCGCUGUGAAAACUCGAGGCUCAACUUCGAGCUGUCGGUGGAAACUUUCUGGCUAGAGUCCGGAAGAGGAGAAUGGAAUUCCUGGUGUAGCGGUGAAAUGCGCAGAUAUCAGGAAGAACACCCGUGGCGAAGGCGGUUCUCUGGGACGGUACUGACGCUGAGACGCGAAAGCGUGGGGAGCGAACAGG